rnacentral:rRNA from 1 species
UACGGAGGGUGACAGCGUUAUCCGGAAUUACUGGGUUUAAAGGGUGCGUAGGCGGCUUGAUAAGUCAGAGGUGAAAGCCUAUCGCUUAACGAUAGAAUGGCCUUUGAUACUGUAAAGCUUGAAAGGGGUUGAGGUCAGCAGAAUGUGGCAUGUAGCGGUGAAAUGCAGAGAUAUGCCAUAGAACACCGAUUGCGAAGGCAGCUGGCUGGGCCUACUUUGACGCUGAGGCACGAAAGCGUGGGGAGCGAACAGG